UACGUAGGGGGCAAGCGUUGUCCGGAUUUAUUGGGCGUAAAGAGCGUGUAGGCGGUUAGGUAGGUCCGUUGGGAAAACUCGAGGCUCAACCUCGAGACGCCGAUGGAAACCAUCUAACUAGAGUCCGGAAGAGGAGAAUGGAAUUCCUGGUGUAGCGGUGAAAUGCGCAGAUAUCAGGAAGAACACCCGUGGCUAAGGCGGUUCUCUAGUACGGUACUGACGCUGAGACGCGAAAGCGUGGGGAGCGAACAGG
rnacentral:rRNA from 1 species